ACUCCUACGGGAGGCAGCAGUGGGGAAUAUUGCACAAUGGAGGAAACUCUGAUGCAGCAACGCCGCGUGGAGGAUGACACUUUUCGGAGCGUAAACUCCUUUUAUAUAGGAAGAUAAAUGACGGUACUAU
rnacentral:rRNA from 1 species